rnacentral:rRNA from 1 species
CCGUGUACGUACAAGCAGUGGGAGCACCCUUUGGGGUGUGACUGCGUACCUUUUGUAUAAUGGGUCAGCGACUUAUAUUCUGUAGCAAGGUUAACCGAAUAGGGGAGCCGGAGGGAAACCGAGUCUUAAUUGGGCGUUAAGUUGCAGGGUAUAGACCCGAAACCCGGUGAUCUAGCCAUGGGCAGGUUGAAGGUUGGGUAACACUAACUGGAGGACCGAACCGACUAAUGUUGAAAAAUUAGCGGAUGACCUGUGGCUGGGGGUGAAAGGCCAAUCAAACCGGGAGAUAGCUGGUUCUCCCCGAAAGCUAUUUAGGUAGCGCCUCGUGAAUUCAUCUCCGGGGGUAGAGCACUGUUUCGGCUAGGGGGCCAUCCCGGCUUACCAACCCGAUGCAAACUGCGAAUACCGGAGAAUGUUAUCACGGGAGACACACGGCGGGUGCUAACGUCCGUCGUGAAGAGGGAAACAACCCAGACCGCCAGCUAAGGUCCCAAAGUCAUGGUUAAGUGGGAAACGAUGUGGGAAGGCCCAGACAGCCAGGAUGUUGGCUUAGAAGCAGCCAUCAUUUAAAGAAAGCGUAAUAGCUCACUGGUCGAGUCGGCCUGCGCGGAAGAUGUAACGGGGCUAAACCAUG